GGCUACGACCAUGCCACCCUGAACAAGCCCGAUCCCGUCUGAUCUCGGAAGCUAAGCAGGGUCAGGCCUGGUUAGUACUUGGAUGGGAGACCACCUAGGAAGACCUGGUGCUGUAGGCG
rnacentral:rRNA from 1 species